rnacentral:rRNA from 1 species
CAGUAGGGAAUCUUGCGCAAUGGGCGAAAGCCUGACGCAGCCAUGCCGCGUGAAUGAUGAAGGUCUUAGGAUUGUAAAAUUCUUUCAGCGGGGACGAUAAUGACGGUACCCGCAGAAGAAGCCCCGGCUAACUUCGUGCCAGCAGCCGCGGUAAUACGAAGGGGGCUAGCGUUGCUCGGAAUUACUGGGCGUAAAGGGCGCGUAGGCGGAUGUCUUAGUCAGAGGUGAAAGCCCAGGGCUUAACCUUGGAACUGCCUUUGAUACUGGACAUCUUGAGUACGGGAGAGGUGAGUGGAACUCCGAGUGUAGAGGUGAAAUUCGUAGAUAUUCGGAAGAACACCAGUGGCGAAGGCGACUCACUGGCCCGUUACUGACGCUGAGGCGCGAAAGCGUGGGGAGCAAACAGGAUUAGA